UGGGGAAUUUUGGACAAUGGGCGAAAGCCUGAUCCAGCCAUGCCGCGUGAGUGAAGAAGGCCUUCGGGUUGUAAAGCUCUUUUAGUCGGAAAGAAAGAGUCGCAGUGAAUAAUUGUGAUUUAUGACGGUACCGACAGAAAAAGCACCGGCUAACUACGUGCCAGCAGCCGCGGUAAUACGUAGGGUGCGAGCGUUAAUCGGAAUUACUGGGCGUAAAGGGUGCGCAGGCGGUUUUUCAAGUCAGAUGUGAAAGCCCCGGGCUUAACCUGGGAAUUGCGUUUGAAACUACAAGGCUAGAGUCCAGCAGAGGGGAGUAGAAUUCCAUGUGUAGCAGUGAAAUGCGUAGAGAUGUGGAAGAACACCGAUGGCGAAGGCAGCCCCCUGGGUUGACACUGACGCUCAUGCACGAAAGCGUGGGGAGCAAACA
rnacentral:rRNA from 1 species